rnacentral:rRNA from 1 species
GAUGAACGCUGGCGGUAUGCUUAACACAUGCAAGUCGAACGGGAAGUUUUCGGACUUCUAGUGGCGGACGGGUGAGUAACGCGUGAGAAUCUGCCUUUUGGACGGGGACAACUGCUGGAAACGGCAGCUAAGACCGGAUAUGCCCUUGGGUGAAAUAUUGUAUAGCCAAAAGAGGAGCUCGCGACCGAUUGGCUAGUUGGUGGGGUAAGAGCCUACCAAGGCUGCGAUCGGUAGCCGGUUUGAGAGGACGACCGGCCACACUGGGACUGAGACACGGCCCAGACUCCUACGGGAGGCAGCAGUGGGGAAUUUUCCGCAAUGGGCGAAAGCCUGACGGAGCAAUACCGCGUGAGGGAGGAAGGCUCUUGGGUCGUAAACCUCUUUUCUCAAGGAAGAAUCAAAUGACGGUACUUGAGGAAUCAGCAUCGGCUAACUCCGUGCCAGCCGCCGCGGUAACAC